rnacentral:lncRNA from 1 species
CUGCGCUCCGGAGAGCUUCGGGAGCCUCGCACACUGUGUCCUCUCCAUUGCUGUCAGAAGUCAGGCGGCCCAGACCCUCCUCCAGCUGUGGCCCUUGCUGUCUGCAAACAAGUUCCUCCACGUGUCUGCCUGGAGCACAAACGACCAGGACGCAAGACGAGUGGAUUCCCUUUUGCAGGUUUCUUUGUCUUAGAUUUGGACGUUCACUUUAUCGGCGCACACAGCACAUGGGAAGGGAUGGUACAAACGUGAGACCAGGGCAGGGGAGCUGGCCUAAGCCCGUUACUGCAGCAGGUUGGCCCCAGGAGGUGGAGAUCGAGUUGUUCAUCUGGGAAAGCAGGGGAACUUGGCAGAAAGGAUCAAGUGCAAAAUACUUAGAGCAGAAUAAACUCCACAGGCUGCUCAAAGAAAGCAUGCGUCCGCUCAGAAAAGGGCUUAAUUAUCGCUUCUUCAAUAAUCUCAAUCCCAUGCCCCACUGA